rnacentral:rRNA from 1 species
GAUGAACGCUGGCGGCGUGCUUAAUACAUGCAAGUCGAGCGAACAGACGAGGAGCUUGUUCCUCUGACGUUAGCGGCGGACGAGGGAGUAACACGUGGAUAACCUACUUAUAAGACUUGGAUAAUUUCGGGAGACCGGAGCUAAUACUAGGUGAUAUAUUGAAUCGCUUGGUUCAAUAGUCUAAGACGGUUUUGCUGUCACUUAUAGAUGGAUCCGCGCCGCAUUAGCUAGUUGGUCAGGUAGCGGCUUACCAAGGCGACGAUGCGUAGCCGACCUGAUAGGGGGGAUGGCCACACGAGAACUGAGACACCGUCCAGACUGCUACGGGGGGCAGCAGUAGCGAAUCUUCCGCCAUCGGCGCAAGCCCGACGAAGCAACCCCGCCUUGGUGGUGAAGGCCUUCGGAGCGUUGAACUCUCUUGUUAGGAAAGAACAAAUGUGUUAGUAACUGUGCUUGUCUUGACGGUACCUGAUCAAGAAGCCACGGCUAACUACGUG